GGGCCUGUAGUUCAGCUGGUUAGAACGCUCCGCUCAUAACGGAGUUGUCGGGGGUUCGAGUCCCUCCAGGCCCACCA
rnacentral:tRNA from 1 species